GAUGAACGCUGGCGGCGUGCCUAAUACAUGCAAGUCGAGCGAACAGACGAGGAGCUUGCUCCUUUGACGUUAGCGGCGGACGGGUGAGUAACACGUAGGUAACCUACCUAUAAGACUGGGAUAACUUCGGGAAACCGGAGCUAAUACCGGAUAAUAUUUCGAACCGCAUGGUUCGAUAGUGAAAGAUGGCUUUGCUAUCACUUAUAGAUGGACCUGCGCCGUAUUAGCUAGUUGGUAAGGUAACGGCUUACCAAGGCAACGAUACGUAGCCGACCUGAGAGGGUGAUCGGCCACACUGGAACUGAGACACGGUCCAGACUCCUACGGGAGGCAGCAGUAGGGAAUCUUCCGCAAUGGGCGAAAGCCUGACGGAGCAACGCCGCGUGAGUGAUGAAGGUCUUCGGAUCGUAAAACUCUGUUAUUAGGGAAGAACAAACGUGUAAGUAACUGUGCACGUCUUGACGGUACCUAAGCAGAAAACCACGGCUAACUACGU
rnacentral:rRNA from 1 species